CUAAGCUAUCUGAUAAAAUCGCUCUUCAGCCACACCAGCUGCUCGAGUCAGGUGCCCACUGCAACACUCUCAGCUAUGAACUAGAAGGCAUGGUCAUGGGCAUGAUGUGGCCGCCCUGAGCUACCCACUGCCACAGGACGCUCCCCCUGGCAACCUUCUUAAGCUGCUUCGGCACUUACAGAGACUGAGCUCCUCAUCCUCUGCUUCCUGAGAGCACUGAACUGGCUGCCAGCCAGUGCCAUCUUGGAGCUGGCUCACUUACACGGCCCCAGAAUUUCUCCCUUAGACCAUGCUCCCAAGGAACAGUUGUUUUUCAAGAGAAAGACAACCACAGCGACCCCCCCAGCUACACCACUCUCCAUGCACAAGUGCAAGGGGCGCUCAGGCCAGCCCCCUUCUGGGACAGCAGCUGCUCCAGCGUCCAGCGUCAGCCAUGACAGCACCACAUACAUCCUCCUCGGCAGCUGAGGGACAGCCCAGAAAUUAAAACACAGUGAUGAUUCUCUGGGUGCAGUUUAAAUCAGAUCAGAAAAAAAAUUGCCUAUAAAUAAAUUGGAUAGUAGUCCUGGCAAACUAGUACAAGUAAUUAUAUCAACUUGAUGGUGAUAAUUAUUUUUCAUAAAACUCAGUUGCUUCCUGCUUCUAAUAAAUCUACCCUAUGAUAA